AUUGAACGCUGGCGGCAUGCCUUACACAUGCAAGUCGAACGGUAACAGGUCUUCGGAUGCUGACGAGUGGCGCACGGGUGAGUAAUACAUCGGAACGUGCCCGAUCGUGGGGGAUAACGAGGCGAAAGCUUUGCUAAUACCGCAUACGAUCUACGGAUGAAAGCGGGGGAUCUUCGGACCUCGCGCGGCUGGAGCGGCCGGUGGCAGCUUAGGUAGGUGGUGGGAUAAAAGCUUACCAAGCCGACGAUCUGUAGCUGGUCUGAGAGGAUGAUCAGCCACACUGGGACUGAGACACGGCCCAGACUCCUACGGGAGGCAGCAGUGGGGAAUUUUGGACAAUGGGCGAAAGCCUGAUCCAGCCAUGCCGCGUGCAGGAUGAAGGCCUUCGGGUUGUAAACUGCUUUUGUACGGAACGAAAAGCCUCUUUCUAAUAAAGAGAGGUCAUGACGGUACCGUAAGAAUAAGCACCGGCUAACUACGUG
rnacentral:rRNA from 1 species